CUUGUAGUCCAAUGGUUAAGAUACGAGCUUCCCAAGCUUGAGAUGCGGGUUCGAUUCCCGUCUGG
rnacentral:tRNA from 1 species